UGCCGUUAAGGGGCGUUACUUUUAGCAGGGGGCGUAACUUUAAGCUGUCCAAGUUACACAGAACCACGCGAGACGUCAGGACGAGAUGUUGUCAUUCUGUGUUCUCUUCUGCCCGCAUAGAGAUACGGCGGCUAAAGGCGUUAUUAAAGUUGCUCAUCCAAGCGCCCUCAUGUUUGUUCGUACCAAUUUUAAUGGACGGGAAGCCGACUGACGAACAUCCUUUUCCCGAGAAAUGGUUCGGCUACGACACAUGUUAAGAAGUCACGCCAGGGGCUGAAUUAAGGUCGACCGUUUCAGCUGCAUUGAUGUGAAGUGAUGCAGUGGACAACUUGUGAGGGUGAUA